CCUACGGGGGGCAGCAGUGGGGAAUAUUGGACAAUGGGCGCAAGCCUGACCCAGCAACGCCGCGUGAAGGAAGAAGGCUUUCGGGUUGUAAACUUCUUUUGUCCGGGGAGAGUAGAAGACGGUGCCUGACGAAUAAGCCACGGCUAACUACGGGCCAGCAGCCGCGGUAAUACGUAGGGGGCAAGCGUUGUCCGGAUUUCCUGGGUGUAAAGGGCGUGUAGCCGGGUUGGCAAGUCAGGUGGGAAAUCCUGCGGAUUAAACGCAGAACAGCAGUUGAAACUGUUGAUCUUGAGUACUGGAGAGGUAGACGGAAUUCCGGGUGUAGCGGUGAAAUGCGUAGAUAUUAGGAGGAACACCAGGUGCGAAGGCGGUCUGCUGGACAGCAACUGACGGUGAGGCGCGAAAGCGUGGGGAGCAAACAGGAUUAGAUACCCGUGUAGUC
rnacentral:rRNA from 1 species